rnacentral:rRNA from 1 species
AAGACCUUGCACUUUUGGAGCGGCCGAUGUCUGAUUAGCUAGUUGGUGGGGUAAAGGCCUACCAAAGCUUCGAUCAGUAGCUGGUCUGAGAGGACGGCCAGCCACACUGGGACUGAGACACGGCCCAGACUCCUACGGGAGGCAGCAGUGGGGAAUUUUGGACAAUGGGCGCAAGCCUGAUCCAGCCAUGCCGCGUGAGUGAAGAAGGCCUUCGGGUUGUAAAGCUCUUUCAGCCGGGAAGAAAAGGCUGCGACUAAUAAUCGCAGUUCAUGACGGUACCGGAAGAAGAAGCACCGGCUAACUACGUGCCAGCAGCCGCGGUAAUACGUAGGGUGCGAGCGUUAAUCGGAAUUACUGGGCGUAAAGGGUGCGCAGGCGGUUUUGUAAGUCAGAUGUGAAACCCCCGGGCUUAACCUGGGAACU